rnacentral:rRNA from 1 species
AAUGAACGUUGGCGGCGUGGAUUAGGCAUGCAAGUCGAGCGAGAAUUUGCGAUUGGAAGCUUCGGCCGAAGAAAGUGAAGGAAAGCGGCAAACGGCGUAGUAAGGCGUAGGUACGUACCCUCGGGUCGGGAAUAGCCAUGGGAAACUGUGGGUAAUGCCCGAUAAUCUCUGCGGAGCAAAGGUGUGAUUCCGCCGGAGGAGCGGCUUACGUGAUAUUAGCUAGUUGGUGGGGUAAUGGCCUACCAAGGCAACGAUGUCUAGGGGGUGUGAGAGCAUGGCCCCCACGACCGGAACUGAGACACUGUCCGGACACCUACGGGUGGCUGCAGUCGAGAAUCUUCCGCAAUGGGCGAAAGCCUGACGGAGCGACGCCGCGUGGUGGAUGAAGGCCCUUGGGUUGUAAACACCUGUCAGAGGGGAUGAAAUCAUGGUUGGCAAUCCUUCCAUGUUGACAGAGCCUCAGAGGAAGCACGGGCUAAGUACGUGCCAGCAGCCGCGGUUAAAG